rnacentral:rRNA from 1 species
UACAGGGGGGGCAAGCGUUGUUCGGAAUUACUGGGCGUAAAGGGUUUGUAGGUGGCUUGCUCAGUCAGACGUGAAAUCCCUCAGCUUAACUGGGGAACUGCGUCUGAUACUAGCGAGCUUGAGUUCAGGAGAGGAACGCGGAAUUCCAGGUGUAGCGGUGAAAUGCGUAGAUAUCUGGAGGAACACCGGUGGCGAAGGCGGCGUUCUGGACUGCAACUGACACUGAAAAGCGAAAGCCAGGGGAGCAAACGGG